rnacentral:tRNA from 1 species
GGGGAUUUAGCUCAGCGGCAUAAGCGCCUGCCUUGCAAGCGGGGAGUUGUGAGUUCAAUCCCCA